rnacentral:rRNA from 1 species
CCUAACACAUGCAAGUCGAACGGUAACAGGAAGCAGCUUGCUGCUUCGCUGACGAGUGGCGGACGGGUGAGUAAUGUCUGGGAAGCUGCCUGAUGGAGGGGGAUAACUACUGGAAACGGUAGCUAAUACCGCAUAAUGUCGCAAGACCAAAGAGGGGGACCUUCGGGCCUCUUGCCAUCGGAUGUGCCCAGAUGGGAUUAGCUAGUAGGUGGGGUAACGGCUCACCUAGGCGACGAUCCCUAGCUGGUCUGAGAGGAUGACCAGCCACACUGGAACUGAGACACGGUCCAGACUCCUACGGGAGGCAGCAGUGGGGAAUAUUGCACAAUGGGCGCAAGCCUGAUGCAGCCAUGCCGCGUGUAUGAAGAAGGCCUUCGGGUUGUAAAGUACUUUCAGCGGGGAGGAAGGGAGUAAAGUUAAUACCUUUGCUCAUUGACGUUACCCGCAGAAGAAGCACCGGCUAACUCCGUGCCAGCAGCCGCGGUAAUACGGAGGGUGCAAGCGUUAAUCGGAAUUACUGGGCGUAAAGCGCACGCAGGCGGUUUGUUAAGUCAGAUGUGAAAUCCCCGGGCUCAACCUGGGAACUGCAUCUGAUACUGGCAAGCUUGAGUCUCGUAGAGGGGGGUAGAAUUCCAGGUGUAGCGGUGAAAUGCGUAGAGAUCUGGAGGAAUACCGGUGGCGAAGGCGGCCCCCUGGACGAAGACUGACGCUCACGUGCGAAAGCGUG